CAGUCGCCGCGGGAAUACGUAGGGUGCGAGCGUUAAUCGGAAUCACUGGGCGUAAAGGACGCGUAGGCGGAUUAUCAAGUCUCUUGUGAAAUCUAACGGCUUAACCGUUAAACUGCUUGGGAAACUGAUAACCUAGAGUAAGGGAGAGGCAGAUGGAAUUCUUGGUGUAGGGGUAAAAUCCGUAGAUAUCAAGAAGAAUACCUAUUGCGAAGGCGAUCUGCUGGAACUUAACUGACGCUAAUGCGUGAAAGCGUGGGGAGCAAACAGGAUUAGAUACCCGCGUAGUCCCUGUCUCUUAUAC
rnacentral:rRNA from 1 species